rnacentral:rRNA from 1 species
UAAUCCCUACGGAAGGCAGCAGUGAGGAAUAUUGGUCAAUGGGCGGAAGCCUGAACUAGCCACGUCGCGUGAGGGAAUAAGGCCCUACGGGUCGUAAACCUCUUUUGCCGGGGAGCAAGGGCCGGGACGCGUCCCGGCCCGGAGAGUACCCGGAGAAAAAGCAUCGGCUAACUCCGUGCCAGCAGCCGCGGUAAUACGGAGGAUGCGAGCGUUAUCCGGAUUUAUUGGGUUUAAAGGGUGCGUAGGCGGGCUUUUAAGUCAGCGGUAAAAAUUCGGGGCUCAACCCCGUCCGGCCGUUGAAACUG